rnacentral:rRNA from 1 species
UCUGGCUCAGGAUGAACGCUGGCGGCGUGCCUAACACAUGCAAGUCGAACGGGGUUAAGGGAAAUUUCGGAUGGAACUUAACUAGUGGCGGACGGGUGAGUAACGCGUGGAUAACCUGCCUCACACUGGGGGAUAGCAGCUGGAAACGGCUGGUAAUACCGCAUAAGACCCCGGUGCCGCAUGGCACCGAGGUAAAGAUUUAUCGGUGUGAGAUGGAUCCGCGUCUGAUUAGCCAGUUGGCGGGUAACGGCCCACCAAAGCGACGAUCAGUAGCCGGCCUGAGAGGGUGAACGGCCACAUUGGGACUGAGACACGGCCCAAACUCCUACGGGAGGCAGCAGUGGGGAAUAUUGCACAAUGGGCGCAAGCCUGAUGCAGCCAACGCCGCGUGAGUGAAGAAGUAUUUCGGUAUGUAAAGCUCUAUCGGCAGGGAAGAAAGGCCCGAAAGGGAGAUGACGGUACCUGACUAAGAAGCCCCGGCUAACUACGUGCCAGCCGCAGC